rnacentral:rRNA from 1 species
GACGAACGCUGGCGGCGUGCCUAAUACAUGCAAGUUGAGCGCUGAAGGUUGGUACUUGUACCGACUGGAUGAGCAGCGAACGGGUGAGUAACGCGUGGGGAAUCUGCCUUUGAGCGGGGGACAACAUUUGGAAACGAAUGCUAAUACCGCAUAAAAACUUUAAACACAAGUUUUAAGUUUGAAAGAUGCAAUUGCAUCACUCAAAGAUGAUCCCGCGUUGUAUUAGCUAGUUGGUGAGGUAAAGGCUCACCAAGGCGAUGAUACAUAGCCGACCUGAGAGGGUGAUCGGCCACAUUGGGACUGAGACACGGCCCAAACUCCUACGGGAGGCAGCAGUAGGGAAUCUUCGGCAAUGGACGAAAGUCUGACCGAGCAACGCCGCGUGAGUGAAGAAGGUUUUCGGAUCGUAAAACUCUGUUGGUAGAGAAGAACGUUGGUGAGAGUGGAAAGCUCAUCAAGUGACGGUAACUACCCAGAAAGGGACGGCUAACUACGUGCCAGCAGCCGCGGUAAUACGUAGGUCCCGAGCGUUGUCCGGAUUUAUUGGGCGUAAAGCGAGCGCAGGUGGUUUAUUAAGUCUGGUGUAAAAGGCAGUGGCUCAACCAUUGUAUGCAUUGGAAACUGGUAGACUUGAGUGCAGGAGAGGAGAGUGGAAUUCCAUGUGUAGCGGUGAAAUGCGUAGAUAUAUGGAGGAACACCGGUGGCGAAAGCGGCUCUCUGGCCUGUAACUGACACUGAGGCUCGAAAGCGUGGGGAGCAAACAGGAUUAGAUACCCUGGUAGUCCACGCCGUAAACGAUGAGUGCUAGAUGUAGGGAGCUAUAAGUUCUCUGUAUCGCAGCUAACGCAAUAAGCACUCCGCC